CCUACGGGAGGCAGCAGUGGGGAAUUUUCCGCAAUGGGCGAAAGCCUGACGGAGCAAUACCGCGUGAGGGAGGAAGGCUCUUGGGUUGUAAACCUCUUUUCUCAGGGAAGAAUAAUGACGGUACCUGAGGAAUAAGCAUCGGCUAACUCUGUGCCAGCAGCCGCGGUAAUACAGAGGAUGCAAGCGUUAUCCGGAAUGAUUGGGCGUAAAGCGUCCGCAGGUGGUUUUAUAUGUCUGCUGUUAAAUGUUAGGCUUAACCUAAUAAAGGCGGUGGAAACUAUAAGACUAGAGUACGUUCGGGGUAGAGGGAAUUCCCAGUGUAGCGGUGAAAUGCGUAGAGAUUGGGAAGAACACCAGUGGCGAAGGCGCUCUGCUAGGACUGUACUGACACUGAGGGACGAAAGCUAGGGGAGCGAAUGGGAUUAGAUACCCCAGUAGUCCUAGCCGUAAACGAUGGAUACUAGGCGUUGUCUGUAUCGACCCGGACAGUGCCGUAGCUAACGCGUUAAGUAUCCCGCCUGGGGAGUACGCAGGCAACUGUGAAACUCAAAUGAAAUUGACGG
rnacentral:rRNA from 1 species